GUCUCUAAAGAGAGUCACACCCCAAAGCCUCUUUAUUCUUUUCGGUAUGUUAUCGUUCACACUUUUAUUACCUUGUUUUCGUUAAUUGAGAUGAUUUGGAUGCCCUGAGACGUAUUAUGAGUUUGCGGUUUGGCACUCUGAUGCUCCGUGGCAUCCGCCUCGUUUUACGGUUUGCUUUCGGUUUGCGAAUUUUAUUUGGUCCCGUAGAUACGUACGCAUGGUGUACCGCCCUGCAUGCUUUUCAGAGUUAGGCCCGUCGGUGGCGCAUGCUACUGUGGCCACCGCUGGCAGCUUACCUGUCCUGGAUGCUAUGACUUUGCUGAACGGAGCUGCUCCUGUUAGCGCGCCCUGUGGCUGCGAGACGCAGCUCCGCAGUGGCCGAUAAAGCAAACCCGGCCGGGCUGAGCCGGGCCUUGUGGGGGUGCGCGGGGCGGGGCUGACGGGGAGAUGGGCAGGGCAGGCGGCAGGCGACUCAGGCCCCAUCCCUGGGCUUUUGAAGGCGUCUACGGCGACGUGCAGCGCGUGAAGAUCCUGUUCAAUAAGAAGGAGAACGCUCUGGUGCAGAUGGCGGACGGCAACCAGGCCCAGCUGGCUAUGAGCCACCUGAACGGGCACAAGCUGCACGGGAAGCCCAUCCGCAUCACGCUCUCAAAGCACCAGAACGUGCAGCUGCCCCGCGAGGGCCAGGAGGACCAGGGCCUGACCAAGGACUAUGGCAACUCACCCCUGCACCGCUUCAAGAAGCCGGGCUCCAAGAACUUCCAGAACAUAUUCCCGCCCUCGGCCACACUGCACCUCUCCAACAUCCCGCCCUCAGUCUCCGAGGAGGAUCUCAAGGUCCUGUUUUCCAGCAAUGGGGGCGUCGUCAAAGGAUUCAAGUUCUUCCAGUGAGUAUGAGGUGGGCUGUGCCUGGCUCUCCACGGGCUGCCCUGCGGCCGGCCCUGACCCCCUGUCUUGCAGGAAGGACCGCAAGAUGGCGCUGAUCCAGAUGGGCUCCGUGGAGGAGGCGGUCCAGGCCCUCAUUGACCUGCACAACCACGACCUCGGGGAGAACCACCACCUGCGGGUCUCCUUCUCCAAGUCCACCAUCUAGGGGCACAGGCCCCCAACGGCCGGGCCCCCUGGCGACAACUUCCAUCAUUCCAGAGAAAAGCCACUUUAAAAAGCAGCUGAAGUGACCUUAACAGACCAGAGAUUUUAUUUUUUUAAAGAGAAAUCAGUUUACCUGUUUUUAAAAAAAUUAAAUCUAGUUCACCUUGCUAACCCUGCAGUGACGGGGACAGCUCAGGC
rnacentral:sRNA from 1 species